CUGUAGUAGUGUGACUGUUUGAUUAAUGGUGCCUCUCAUACUGGACUGAGGCUCCUUGAGGGCAGUGACCCUC
rnacentral:miRNA from 1 species